CCGCCAGUAGUGUGUGUGUGUGUGUGUGUGUGUGUCUGUGUGUGUUUGUAUGAGAGAAUGUGUGAGUGGUCAGGAAUUUUUACGGGGCUCAGAAUAUUUGGAGAGUUUGUGUUCUUGUGAAAAGGAAAUACACCUUCUGUGGCGCUACAGGACACCGAAACAGCACCUGAUGGUGUCAUGGCCGUGGUCUGAUGAUGGACAGCCUGAAGCGUGCUGCUGUACGAGCUGGACCUUCUGACCUCAUCACUCUUCCUCUGAUGUGGAUCCUCCUCUUCUUCACGUUGGUGGAUGCACAAGGGAUGCACACAACUUUUUUUAGCCAGGUUCUCAGGAGAGCACUUAGAGAAUGGAACUGGUACUCACCCUUUGCGCUGCGAAACUAAACAUCAUCUUCCUCACUGCCCUCCUCACUGUCCUCAAUUUCAACUGUAGUACAGGAUGAACUUACAGCCUCCUGGGUGGUGGAAGUGGUUGCACCUCCCUGGUUAAGUCUACGAUGGGCUGUCUGCAUCCAUAGCUCUACUCCUGGCUUUGGGUCAAAUGUAUCUGGACUCAUCUUUGACAAGUGAAUUGUUCAUUCAAUGCGUGAGUAUGUGACAGACGGGAUCUGUACUUGUUUUUUAUUAUAUUGAGGUGUGAGAAACCCCUCUCACAAGCAGCACUGCUCAGAGGAAGUGUAAGGGACAAUUUAAGAAUCGUUGCAGUCACGAUCUGGAUCGCUCGUAUUAACUAUCUUCUUGACCAAGUCAUACACAGAAGAUGCUGCCAAUCGCUUUCCUGCUUGCUUUAAACACAUCCAUUCUCUAUAGUGGAGUCAUUUGUAUAUUUUUUUGCUCCACCUCUGAAUAAAUAAAACUGUAAUAAACUUGACAACGGAUCGAUUAAACGUCACACAAUAGGAAACCUCCCUUCAGCUGAUUUUGCAGUGCACAGAACAUGCACAAGGGAAUCCCCGAUCGCCACCAUUCGCCGUAGAUUCGGUAAAAUGCCGUCGUACGUACCGACACUGACAUCUUUUGAGGUGGCGGAAUGCCAAAGAAGCUACUUAAAGUUUGCUGUUUUUUGGACAUCUCUCACAGUAUUUAUAUCUAAAUCGAUCUAAAAUGGCGACUGUGCAUUAACGCCCGUCAACGACGUCAGCACGCACGUGAGCGUUUAGAGCAUAUUAACAGCGAGCAUUUUUUAUUUUGGGGGCGCAUGCGCACCAGUUGUGUGCAUCCCUGUGUAUUGAUAUUAUUAAAAUUGUAUUUAUUUCCUUUUUAUACUUAGAUGUUGUAAAGCACAUUGGUCAACAUGUGAUGUUUGAAUAGUGCUGUACAAAUAUAGUUGACUGACAUAUGACCUCACAUUUUAUAAAAAAAUUUGGCAUACAGAGCUGAUUGAUUUUUUUUUUGUUUUGUUUUCCAUCUAGAUUUUAUGUGGAUUGAUAUAACGGUUGUGUUUGUCUGAAGUUUUAUUUAUUUAUUUAUUUGUUUAUUUAUUUGUAUUAGAACAGUGCACGUUAAUCAACAAAUCAGCAAUAAGCAUCAGUGUAAAUAUGCCAGAAUUAGCACAAUAGCUAAAUUUCAUCCGUUGUCCUAAGGCAAGUAUCACAAAACACAAA